rnacentral:rRNA from 1 species
UUGGACCUGAUAUCAAACAAGACAAACCGCGGAAACAUAAGCAUAUAGUUAAGCCGAGGAGAAGAAACAAACAGGAUGUCCCAGUAAGGC